rnacentral:rRNA from 1 species
UAGAGAUAGCUGGUUAUUUAGGAAAAGGAUUUUAGUCCAAUUUUAACUCUUUAUAUAACAUCAAAUAUACCCGCAGAUUUAAAAUUCAUUCAAAUAAGGUACAGCCUAUUUGAAAUAGGAUACAACCUUCCAUAGUGGGUAAUGCUCUAAUAAAAGUGACCAAGUUGGCCUAAGAGCAGCCACCUUUUAAAAAGCGUUAAAGCCUCAUCACACUUAAUUUUAAAUACCAAUAUAAACCCAAAACCCCUCAAUUCUACUAAAUGACUUCAUACUCAUAUGAAAAUCCUUAUGUUAGAACUAGUAACAAGAAUUAUUAUUCUCCCAAAAANGUAAGUGUAAGUCGAAAUGGACUACCCGCCGACACUCACCGUCAAUGAACCCACAGUAAUAACUCCUUCAAGAAAAACUUACUUUUUUCCCAACGUUAACCUUACACAAGAACUUUUCUGGAAAGAUUAAAAAAAGAGGAAGGAACUCGGCAAACAUUAACCCCGCCUGUUUACCAA